UCCUCAGUGGGAUAGCUCAGUUGGUAGAGCAUGAGACUCUUAUCCUCUGGGUUUUGAGUUUGAGCCCCGUUGGGAGGAA